rnacentral:tRNA from 1 species
GCGCCUGUAGCUCAGGGGAUAGAGCAACGGUUUCCUAAACCGUGAGCCGGUGGUUCGAAUCCACCCAGGCGCA